rnacentral:rRNA from 1 species
UGGGGAAUAUUGCACGAUGGGCGCAAGCCUGAUGCAGCCAUGCCGCGUGUAUGAAGAAGGCCUUCGGGUUGUAAAGUACUUUCAGUCGGGAGGAAGGUGUCAAGGUUAAUAACCUUGGCAAUUGACGUUACCGACAGAAGAAGCACCGGCUAACUCCGUGCCAGCAGCCGCGGUAAUACGGAGGGUGCAAGCGUUAAUCGGAAUUACUGGGCGUAAAGCGCACGCAGGCGGUUGAUUGAGUCAGAUGUGAAAUCCCCGGGCUUAACCCGGGAAUUGCAUCUGAUACUGGUCAGCUAGAGUCUUGUAGAGGGGGGUAGAAUUCCAUGUGUAGCGGUGAAAUGCGUAGAGAUGUGGAGGAAUACCGGUGGCGAAGGCGGCCCCCUGGACAAAGACUGACGCUCAGGUGCGAAAGCGUGGGGAGCAAACAGG